rnacentral:misc_RNA from 1 species
AAGUCGUAACAAGGUUUCCGUAGGUGAACCUGCGGAAGGAUCAUUAAUGAAAUGCAAGGACGCUCUUUUUAGAGGUCCGACCAACUCAUUUACCUUCACACUGUGCACAUACUACUUUUUUACACCAAUUUUUAACGCAUUAGUUUAAGAAUGUAAAAUCAGUCUCGAAAGAGCAUAAAAUAAAUAAAA